UACGUAGGGUGCGAGCGUUGCCCGGAUUUAUUGGGCGUAAAGGGCGCGUAGGCGGCCACGCACGUCCGUUGUGAAAUCGCCCGGCUCAACUGGGCGGGGUCAGCGGAUACGGCGCGGCUGGAGCAAGCUAGGGGGCAAUGGAAUUCCCGGUGUAGUGGUGGAAUGCGUAGAUAUCGGGGAGGAACACCAGUGGCGAAGGCGGUUGCCUGGAGCUUUGCUGACGCUGAGGCGCGAAAGCGUGGGGAGCGAACAGG
rnacentral:rRNA from 1 species